rfam:Trichobilharzia regenti genome assembly, scaffold: TRE_scaffold0000085
AUCCAGAUGACGAUUCCCGAAUAGGAUGAAAUGAGCAUCCUGGAU